rnacentral:rRNA from 3 species
CACACCCGUUCCCAUGCCGAACACGGAAGUUAAGCUCUUCAGCGCCGAUGGUAGUCGGGGGUUUCCCCCUGUGAGAGUAGGACGCCGCCAAGC